CUGCACACACCUCCAACGUACGAACGAACAAACGACGAACGAACGAACGAACGAACGAAGGAACGAACGAACGAAGGAACAAAGGAACGAACGAACGAACGAACGAACGAACGAAGGAACGAAGGAACGAAGGAACGAAUAAGCUAGGCAGCCCUUUAACGACGCGCUCGACCUCCUACACUCGCGCCAUCGAGCUUUGUCCUUCGAGAAACGACGUUGUUGCAAGAGAGUACUCGGAUACCGAACGACGACGACGACGACGACAAUGCUAAACUGACUAGCUUGCGUGAAAUUGCGGUGUAUAGAUUAUAAAAAGGGAUAUCAGUAAACCUGGAAAAUAAAUGCAAAAAGAACGUUAAGAAACAUUAUAGAAGAUUUUCAUCACGGCGAAUAAUAAAAUCGUUUGGUACUCCAUCUACAUAACUAUGCGAAUUGACUAACUUCCGUGAAAUUUGCAGGGAUAUAAGUGGAGGAACACGGACAGAUACAGACACGGAUUCGUAUAUGAGUUGUAAUACUUAAACAUUAGCUUUACGUUCAGCAUUAAUCUUCUACCUUCACCUUUUGUUCACCUAACAUCUCUACGUCGUUUCCCUUGUCUCCUCUCUCUUCCAUGACCUUUUCUAUACCGUGUCCGGUCUACUAGUUGAAUAGGAGUUUUGUCAGUUAGUUAUAAGAAAGAACAUGUAGAAUAAUUCCCAUAACGUCAGUUGAAACGAACGAACGAAUAAAGUUAAAUUUUCAUUUUCUCAGACUUCUUGAUUAAAGAAAGAAAAACGAAUAGAAAUAAAAGACAUUUUUAAUUAAUAGAAAAACGAAUAGGACUUUUAUAUCAUGAAAAAGAUACUGAUUUUGUUCAGCGUUGAAACAAACAGGUGGCUUUAAUUAUGAUA